rnacentral:rRNA from 1 species
UGUGCCUACGGGGCGCAGCAGUGGGGGAUAUUGGACAAUGGGGGGAACCCUGAUCCAGCGACGCCGCGUGAGUGAAGAAGUAUUUCGGUAUGUAAAGCUCUGUCAGCAGGGAAGAAAGCAAUGACGGUACCUGACCAAGAAGCCCCGGCUAACUACGAGCCAGCAGCCGCGGUAAUACGUAGGGGGCCAGCGUUAUCCGGAAUUACUGGGUGUAAAGGGAGCGUAGACGGCUGUGCAAGGCUGGAGUGAAAGGCGGGGGGCAAACCCACGGACUGGUCUGGAAACUGUAUGGC